AAAGGAAACAGUAUAUUGUAAGUGAAAUAUCCCGCUGCGCGGGAUGUGAAAUAUCGCAGCCGUGCACGGCUGCGAUGUGAUAGUUACU
rnacentral:misc_RNA from 1 species